UACGAAGGGGGCUAGCGUUGUUCGGAAUCACUGGGCGUAAAGCGCACGUAGGCGGAUCUUUAAGUCAGGGGUGAAAUCCCGAGGCUCAACCUCGGAACUGCCUUUGAUACUGGGGAUCUCGAGUCCGGGAGAGGUGAGUGGAACUGCGAGUGUAGAGGUGAAAUUCGUAGAUAUUCGCAAGAACACCAGUGGCGAAGGCGGCUCACUGGCCCGGAACUGACGCUGAGGUGCGAAAGCGAUGGGGAGCAAACAGGGG
rnacentral:rRNA from 1 species